AGGACAGUCGUCUAGCGGCUAUGACGCGGACCUUAAGCUAUGCAAUCUUUUAAUCCGUAUUUCGUGGGUUCGAGUCCCACCUGUCCUA
rnacentral:tRNA from 1 species